UGGCUGAGCGGUAAAGCUCUUGGUUUCCAAACUGGCGGUCCUGGGUUCGACUCCUAG
rnacentral:tRNA from 1 species